GCAUAAAGUGGGAAAUUAUCAAAUAUAAAGCGCGGUUAUACACCAAAGGUCACAGAGACAUCAUGGUGGGAUAUUUUUUCUUGAUAUAACUUUAUCUUGUGAUCAUCCAUUCAAACCACCAAAGGUAUGCUGAUAGCUACAGGAAAUACUAAAGAUGACUAGUUCCUUUUUCAUUCUAAUUUCAUUUUCACUACAAGCUAGAAGCAAGUAUUUCCGCAUAUGAUAGCUGAGUUGAAUGUCUUUCAAAAUCAUCUGAUUUACCAAGGGACUGUUUUAGCUCUUGUAUACAAUCAGCAGUCCAAGAAUGGAGUAAAACGGCACUCUGGGCUUCUUUUCACCUUCAUGCUUCAGAUUGUUUGCAUGAAAUGUUGGCCUCCAUGAAACUGUAGUCUUGUCAUGAUUUUGUUUAUUGAUAGUGUCCAGCAAUAAAUGUUAUUUCAGAAUGAGGAAAGUUUGUUCAAGUUGUUUCAUAUCUGUAUCCAAUAAUUCUGACACCUGUAAGUAAAUCUGUCCGCUUUGCCCAAGUUUAUCUGUGAGGUUCUAUGUGUAAAGUUUCAUCUAAAACUACAGUGUUCAAAUGUUAUAUGUUGGUUCUUGCAGAUAAAUCCCUUGUUCCCAGUAUUGCCCACUUGUAAUCGGCAGACAGAGCAAAGCAUGAUAAGCUGCCUGCAGAGUAGACAACGCGAUUCGCAAGGUGUGAUGCAAUCCAGUGGAUGAAUAAUCAUUAAGCCCAUAAUAUUCAGUCUUGGGGAUUACAUAUUACUUUCUGCAGUUGGGAGAAUAGAGCUCCAAGCUUUGCCUAUAGAACCAGAAGCUGCCUUCUUGCUUACAUGGUUACCUGGUUCUGAAUUUCGAUCAAUACAACUAGGUCUCGGGUUGGCUAUAGUUGGAUGUGCAGCCAAUCCAUAGCUCUUAUGUAAUAACUACUCAGCAAGUUCUUGGUUCUUCCAAUAUUAGUUUGUCUACGAGUGUGGCUAAUGAGUAUGUAUAUAUGUAGCAGCAUCUAGCUGUGAUUAUUCUUUUCAAUGCUCGAUUGAAGCAUGAUCUUGUCACAAAUUUGCUACACUCUGUAUUUUUUUUAAUGGGAUGUAUGCUUAUG
rnacentral:lncRNA from 1 species